rnacentral:rRNA from 1 species
UACAGAGGUCCCGAGCGUUGUUCGGAUUCACUGGGCGUAAAGGGUGCGUAGGCGGUCGGGUAAGUCUGAUGUGAAAUCUCACAGCUUAACUGUGAAACUGCAUUGGAUACUAUUCGGCUUGAGAGUUGGAGGGGGGACUGGAAUUCUCGGUGUAGCAGUGAAAUGCGUAGAUAUCGAGAGGAACACCAGUGGCGAAGGCGAGUCCCUGGACAACUCUGACGCUGAGGCACGAAAGCUAGGGGAGCGAACAGG